UCUUACUAAAAUAUCUGAUGUACAUGCCUUAUAUACAACCACUCUUGGGCCAGGUCAGACGGCCCAAGAACAAAAAUAAAAUGGGCUCAGAUAUUUACAACCCAAUCAACAAUCAUCACAGCCCAACUCCCACAUAUACAAUGUAUAUCAGUAAAAUACAAUAAAUAUACAAUAUAUAUACAAUGUAUACAAUCAUUUAUGCUUAGGUUUGGAAGUCAUGUAGUCCUUCAUCUCAACAGAUAUGUCCAUUUAAUUUAACAUGUCAUGUAGUCCUUCAUCUCAACACCCCCUCCUCAAGUUGGAGGGGAAAACCACAUGCAACUUAGAUAACAGCGGAUGAAGCACAGUGCCAGGCAAUGGCUUAGUGAGCAGGUCAGCUAGUUGACGAGAAGUAGGAACAUGAAACAACUGGAGAAAACCAUUCUGUAGCUGAUCCCGAACAAAAUGACAGUCCACCUUGAUGUGUUUGGUACGCUCUUGAAAAAUAGGAUUGUUAGCUAUAUGGACAGCAGCCUGGCUGUCACAAUACACAGAAAAUGGAAGAGAAACAGAUACUCCAAGAUCAAGCAAUAAACGAGAUAGCCAAGAUAAUUCAGCAACAACCUUGAUGAGGGCUCUAUAUUCUGCCUCAGCAGAAGACAAAGAAACAACAGGCUGCUUCUUAG
rnacentral:lncRNA from 1 species